rnacentral:rRNA from 1 species
UACGGAGGGGGCUAGCGUUGUUCGGAAUUACUGGGCGUAAAGCGUGCGUAGGUGGUUCGUUAAGUCUGUCGUGAAAGCCCCGGGCUCAACCUGGGAAUGGCGAUGGAUACUGGCGGGCUAGAGUGCGGUAGAGGAGAGUGGAAUUCCCGGUGUAGCAGGUGAAAUGCGUAGAGAUCGGGAGGAACAUCAGUUGCGAAGGCGGCUCUCUGGACCAGCGACUGACACUGAGGCACGAAAGCGUGGGGAGCAAACAGG